GACGAACGCUGGCGGCGUGCUUAACACAUGCAAGUCGAACGGAAAGGCCCUGCUUUUGUGGGGUGCUCGAGUGGCGAACGGGUGAGUAACACGUGAGUAACCUGCCCUUGACUUUGGGAUAACUUCAGGAAACUGGGGCUAAUACCGGAUAUGAGCUCCUGCUGCAGGGUGGGGGUGGGAAAGUUUCGGCGGUUGGGGAUGGACUCGCGGCUUAUCAGCUUGUUGGUGGGGUAGUGGCUUACCAAGGCUUUGACGGGUAGCCGGCCUGCGAGGGUGACCGGCCACAUUGGGACUGAGAGACGGCCCAGACUCCUACGGGAGGCAGCAGUGGGGAAUAUUGCACAGUGGGCGGAAGCCUGAUGCAGCAACGCCGCGUGCGGGAUGACGGCCUUCGGGUUGUGAACCGCUUUCGCCUGUGACGAAGCGGGAGUGACGGUAAUGGGUAAAGAAGCACCGGCUAACUACGUG
rnacentral:rRNA from 1 species